CCACUACUUUUCUUGUGUUUGCGCAGCUAAGCGAGUCUAAAGUUUAGACAGUAGACAGUGACUGGUGGUUCUACAGUGGUGCCCGUCUGGAACACUUUAAGCAACAUGGAGAAGGAAAAUCAGCCCAGCAACAUCAGCGAGGAUUUACCUGGACCUAGCACAGC